ensembl:lincRNA Gm13322 predicted gene 13322
AGUUGAAGUUUCUCAUCUACAGUGUAGAUGUCAGUAUCCCACCUCCUUCCUGCCUGCUAUGCUGCCUACUGAGAAGAAGCCGGUGAUCCUGCAGUGGGAAGGAACACUUAUGGUCAGUAGCUGAACCAAAAGAAGGAAUAUUGAUGCUUCAAGUCUAAGGUCUUACCCGCUUGAAGUCCUCAAUGUCUGGCCAUGAAACACCACUAGAGGGAGAGGCUUGAAUUCAUCUUUAACAGUCACAAAGGU